AGUAGCUGGGACUACAAGUGUGUGCCACUACGCCAAGCUAAUUAUUUUAUUUUAUGCAGAGAUGGGGUCUUGUUAUGUUGCUCAGGCUAAAAAGUACAUUCUUAAAACCAUCCAUGAACCCAGAAAAUCUACUGGUGAUACAGAAGAAUCAUAAAUCAUAGAACUUCCAAGAAAGCGAAUCAUAGGUGGUAAAAGGCAGAUAAUUCUGUGAUUACCAGGGAGAUAAAAAUCCAACCUGUGACACCCAAGCCUAUUGCUUUUCCUUGGAUAUAGGUCAAUUAACUCUUUAUCAGUAUCUUCAUCAAAGGCAGGAAGGCAGUUGCAACGAAGAAUUCUCCAAAUGAAUUAAUUUAGCUACUCCUUAGAGCUGAAAAAUUCUUCUUUUAGAAGAAACUAUGAAUAGUGAAAAGGCCUUGAAAAAUGCAAGAUGCUAUAUGAAUGUAAGGCAAGACUUAUUACUUUUAUUACCUACAUAUCUUGUUCCACAUUAACUCAAAAUCAUUAUGAAGUGUCUCAAAUGAUAACAAUAAUAGCUAAUAUUAUUGAGUAAACUUAAUGUGUCUAAGCAUGGUUGUAAGCAUUUUACAUGUGUUGAUUCAUUUAAUCCUCCCAGCAUCCCUAUAAAGCAGGUACUAUUACUAUCAUCCCACUUUUACUAAUUAGGAAAGUGAAGCACAGGGAAGUGAAGAAACUUUCCCAGAGUAACAUACCUAAGAAGGUGGCACAUUUGAUGUUCAAAUCCAGUCUGAUGCCACCAGAACCCAUCCUCUGAACAACCACACUACAUUGGGAGAUAUGUACUGGAUUGACAAUCUAGAGAUGAUGAUACUAAGGUAUGGUGUUGGCAUUGAGUAAACAGGAGUGAACAAAACUAACAAAACUCUCUCUCUCAUGGAGUUUACAUUUUGAUAUCAGAAAUCAUGAAAGCAAUGAAGACUAAAGGAACUGACAUUCCUGGAAGGGAAGAACCAAUCCUAGGGUAAGCAAAAAUCACUGACCAUUUUCUUUCCUAUAGGUUUCCUGUGUAAUUCGUUUUGGAAAAUAAUUCUGCAGUUGCAGAUUCAGGGCUGAGAAUUAUACCUGCAUAGGCAAGACAAAUGUCUCCAGGGGACAUUUGCUGAGUGCUGGGGUAAUAUAGGAACCUGGGGAAUUGGGUCACAAAGAUGAAAAAUCUCAUAUGGCCUCAUGGUACUUAGGAGACAAUGAUGUCUACUUUGGAAAGGGCCUGUAACCCUGUAUCAAGACCAUGUGCAGCCAAGACAUUUGCCAGAUUUUGAAGCCAUAUAGGCCAGGAAGCAUCUAGACAUUAAAACACACACACACACACACACACACACACACACACACACACAAAUUUUUAAGACAAACAGGAAGAAAGGUACUUGUGACAUAUACUAGACACAACUGAUUAAUAUCCAGAAUAUAUAAAGAAUUAGUUUAAAAAAAGACUACCAAAAAGAUAAAUGGGCUAACGAUAUCAGCCCAUGAAAGAAACACAGAUUAGCAAUAAACAUAUUAAAUAUGUUCAAUUGUAAUCAGAAAGUUACAAAUUAAAACUCCAAGAUAACAUUUUGUCUUUCACACUGGCAAACAAUCCGUAAUAAUAAACAUUUUUAAAACUAAAAUUCAAUAGUAUGAAGCCCUAUGAAAGUAAAAUAUUCCUACUAGGUUUAAUUUAGGUCCAAUAUUCAAUGUUAAUAAAGGUAAACUAGCCUAGUUGGUGCCUAAUUUGUCAACAAGAAGUCAAAGAAUCUUUUUAAUACCCAGAGGAUCUGGCAGAGAGGAUAUGAGAGGGACUCAGAAGGAAAAAAACUAGUCUAAUAGAAAACAUCUAUUUUCCAUUUGUGCCCUAUGUACCAGUAUGAAAAUGGACAGCAAGGUGCACUACUAGAGACAAUAUAAUGCUUUUAACUUUCUAAACUUGAUGAAUUAGUGGGCAUAAUGAGAAAGCAGUGCUAAUACCAAGUAUGCAUAAACUAGGAGUAGAAUAAAGUUAGAAACGGACUCUAGAGGGUCCUAAGUGCUAAGCUAAU